AUGAACGCUGGCGGCGUGCCUAAUACAUGCAAGUCGAGCGAACAGACGAGGAGCUUGCUCCUCUGACGUUAGCGGCGGACGGGUGAGUAACACGUGGAUAACCUACCUAUAAGACUGGGAUAACUUCGGGAAACCGGAGCUAAUACCGGAUAACAUGUUGAACCGCAUGGUUCAACAGUGAAAGACGGUUUUGCUGUCACUUAUAGAUGGAUCCGCGUCGCAUUAGCUAGUUGGUAAGGUAACGGCUUACCAAGGCAACGAUGCGUAGCCGACCUGAGAGGGUGAUCGGCCACACUGGAACUGAGACACGGUCCAGACUCCUACGGGAGGCAGCAGUAGGGAAUCUUCCGCAAUGGGCGAAAGCCUGACGGAGCAACGCCGCGUGAGUGAAGAAGGUCUUCGGAUCGUAAAACUCUGUUAUUAGGGAAGAGCAAAUGUGUAAGUAACUAUGCACGUCUUGACGGUACCUAAUCAGAAAGCCACGGCUAACUACGUG
rnacentral:rRNA from 1 species